GUGGGGAAUAUUGGACAAUGGGCGAAAGCCUGAUCCAGCCAUGCCGCGUGUGUGAAGAAGGUCUUCGGAUUGUAAAGCACUUUAAGUUGGGAGGAAGGGCAGUAAGUUAAUACCUUGCUGUUUUGACGUUACCGACAGAAUAAGCACCGGCUAACUUCGUGCCAGCAGCCGCGGUAAUACGAAGGGUGCAGGCGUUAAUCGGAAUUACUGGGCGUAAAGCGCGCGUAGGUGGUUUUGUAAGUUGGAGGUGAAAUCCCCGGGCUCAACCUGGGAACUGCCUCCAAAACUGCAUGACUAGAGUACGGUAGAGGGUAGUGGAAUUUCCUGUGUAGCGGUGAAAUGCGUAGAUAUAGGAAGGAACACCAGUGGCGAAGGCGACUACCUGGACUGAUACUGACACUGAGGUGCGAAAGCGUGGGGAGCAAACAGGAUUAGAAACCCCUGUAGUCC
rnacentral:rRNA from 1 species